AUACAUCUUCAUCAUUUUAAAUUAUAGGUUAAACCAAAAGAAUUUACAAUAGGAAGAAAAAUAAGGUGAAAACUGGAAAGAUGGAUCCAGAUUAUUGACGUCCAAAGAGUAAAAGAGUACACAAACCAUUAGAAAGGUGGUCGAGACAAUAAGAGUAGAUACGAAAUCCAGAGUCUUAAAAGACAUUAUAGAAAUUAGAGAAGAAGAUGGUAACGCCGCUCGCUAUCUGCACCGACACCAUUCUUGAAAUCGACCGACGAAGAAGAAGGCUCGGUGAAAAGAGAUGGCUGGAAAAUUACUUCCACUUCUUGAAUUUUCCUCCGCCAAACAUCCCGUGUUUCCCAUGUUUGUGUUUCCCAAACUUUCCGUGCUUGAACUUCCCAUGGUGCUUGAAUUUUCCACCGUGACCGUGACCAUGACCAUAAUGAGCAACACCAUGGGGGUA
rnacentral:lncRNA from 1 species